rnacentral:rRNA from 1 species
GACGAACGCUGGCGGCGUGCUUAACACAUGCAAGUCGAACGGAGCGAAUGAAAGCUUGCUUUUAUAAGCUUAGUGGCAAACGGGUGAGUAACACGUAGACAACCUGCCGACAGGAUGGGGACAACAUUCCGAAAGGAAUGCUAAUACCGAAUGAAGCGGAGGAGAGGCAUCUCUCCUCUGUGAAAGAUGGCCUCUAUAUAUAAGCUAUCACCUGUCGAUGGGUCUGCGUCUGAUUAGCUGGUAGGUGAGGUAACGGCUCACCUAGGCGACGAUCAGUAGCCGGUCUGAGAGGAUGAACGGCCACAUUGGGACUGAGACACGGCCCAGACUCCUACGGGAGGCAGCAGUGGGGAAUCUUCCGCAAUGGGCGCAAGCCUGACGGAGCAACGCCGCGUGAGUGAAGAAGGUCUUCGGAUCGUAAAGCUCUGUUGAUGGGGACGAACGUGCCUAAUGCGAAUAGUAUUAGGU